rnacentral:tRNA from 1 species
GCCCGGGUGGCGGAAUGGUAGACGCAGGGGGCUUAAACCCCCCGGACCGCAAGGUCAUGCGGGUUCGACUCCCGCCCCGGGUA